rnacentral:misc_RNA from 1 species
UUCAAGUGCCGCCUUUGGGCGGCCCUCAGACUGCUGACGAACCCCGUCAUUUUUGGCGGGGUUUGUUUUUUGUGGUGA